rnacentral:rRNA from 1 species
UACGAAGGGGCUAGCGUUGCUCGGAAUCACUGGGCGUAAGCGCACGUAGGCGGCUACUAAGUCAGGGUGAAUCCUGGAGCUCAACUCCAGAACUGCCUUGAUACUGGUGAGCUUGAGUCCGGAAGAGGUGAGUGGAACUGCGAGUGUAGAGGUGAAAUUCGUAGAUAUUCGCAAGAACACCAGUGGCGAAGGCGGACUCACUGGCCCGGUACUGACGCUGAGGUGCGAAAGCG